rnacentral:rRNA from 1 species
UACGUAGGGUGCGAGCGUUGUCCGGAAUUAUUGGGCGUAAAGGGCUCGUAGGCGGUCUGUCACGUCGGGAGUGAAAACUCAGGGCUUAACCCUGAGCCUGCUUCCGAUACGGGCAGACUAGAGGUAUGCAGGGGAGAACGGAAUUCCUGGUGUAGCGGUGGAAUGCGCAGAUAUCAGGAGGAACGACCAAUAGCGAAGGCAGCUCGCUGGGACGGUACUGACGCUGAGGCGCGAAAGCUAGG